ensembl:lncRNA
CUCACAUGCAUGCGGUGUGUUUCUUUAACAACGUCAGCAGUCGAGAAUGACAUUCUCAAACACGGUUCUUGGGGAAUCAGGACUAAAAUGUUUCGAUGCUACGAUGUGUUCUCUCCUCAACAACGUGUCCACAAGCACACAACUCCCCAUUUUUAUCAUAAUUGUACAUUAUGUUAUGCAUCCUGUAAUUAGUGUGAUCUCGACGCAUGACAAAGUGCUGAAUAAGGAAAAGGGCAGGCAACCUGAUUCUUCAUGUAUCACAUAACACCUCAAGUGAUAAUUAAGAUUGUGGGGUCAUCAGAUCAAGUGGGAGUCUCCCUGACAUCGCCUUGGCGCGCGCCCCUCCACACCACAGCACCCCGCCCCCCACCACAUCUCCCCAAUUCUUUCCAUGGGUCCAAGACUUAGAAGGCAAU